GACGAACGCUGGCGGCGUGCUUAACACAUGCAAGUCGAACGGAAAGGCCUCUUUCGGGGGGUACUCGAGUGGCGAACGGGUGAGUAACACGUGAGUAACCUGCCCUUGACUUUGGGAUAACUUCAGGAAACUGGGGCUAAUACCGGAUAGGAGCUCCUGCUGCAUGGUGGGGGUUGGAAAGUUUCGGCGGUUGGGGAUGGACUCGCGGCUUAUCAGCUUGUUGGUGGGGUAGUGGCUUACCAAGGCUUUGACGGGUAGCCGGCCUGAGAGGGUGACCGGCCACAAUGGGACUGGGAUACGGCCCAGACUCCUACGGGAGGCAGCAGUGGGGAAUAUUGCACAAUGGGUGGAAGCCUGAUGCAGCAACGCCGGGGGCGGGAUGACGGCCUUCGGGUUGUAAACCGCUUUCGCUCAUGACGAAGCUUUGUGUGACGGUAGUGGGUAAAGAAGCACCGGCUAACUACGUG
rnacentral:rRNA from 1 species